rnacentral:rRNA from 1 species
AAUAUUGCACAAUGGAGGGAACUCUGAUGCAGCGACGCCGCGUGAACGAAGAAGGCUUUCGAGUCGUAAAGUUCUUUUAUAUGGGAAGAUAAUGACGGUACCAUAAGAAAAAGCCCCGGCUAACUACGUGCCAGCAGCCGCGGUAAUACGUAGGGGGCUAGCGUUGUCCGGAAUCACUGGGCGUAAAGGGUUCGCAGGCGGAAAUGCAAGUCAGAUGUAAAAGGCAGUAGCUUAACUACUGUAAGCAUUUGAAACUGCAUAUCUUGAGAAGAGUAGAGGUAAGUGGAAUUUUUAGUGUAGCGGUGAAAUGCGUAGAUAUUAAAAAGAAUACCGGUGGCGAAGGCGACUUACUGGGCUCAUUCUGACGCUGAGGAACGAAAGCGUGGGUAGCAAACAGGAUUAGAUACCCUGGUAGUCCACGCUGUA